rnacentral:tmRNA from 1 species
GGGGGCGCACCGGUUUCGACUGGGAUCACAAGCCUUCUGUGGCAUGUCGCGGAGGUCCGUUGGCCGCGUUAUCAAUCGGGCACAAACUUAACUGCGAACAACGAAUUCGCUCUUGCUGCCUAAUUAAAGGCAACGACGCUUCCCAUCCCCUCCGCCUGUGGGGGAUCUGAAGCGAGGUUAACAGGCUGGCCUUUUCCAUGCCCGUCGGGAAAAGGCGAGACUAAAGGCGGGAUUUUCCCUGCCAAUGCCCGUCGGUUGGCUAGGUAAGGGAUAAAACUAAUCAUCCGACUACACAUGUAGAAGCAGUUGGUGCGGAUCGUCAGGACGCGGGUUCGAAUCCCGCCGCCUCCACCA